rnacentral:rRNA from 1 species
AGAACGAACGCUGGCGGCAUGCCUAAUACAUGCAAGUCGAACGAAGGCUUCGGCCUUAGUGGCGCACGGGUGCGUAACGCGUGGGAAUCUGCCCCUUGGUUCGGAAUAACAGUUGGAAACGACUGCUAAUACCGGAUGAUGACGAAAGUCCAAAGAUUUAUCGCCAAGGGAUGAGCCCGCGUAGGAUUAGCUAGUUGGUGAGGUAAAGGCUCACCAAGGCGACGAUCCUUAGCUGGUCUGAGAGGAUGAUCAGCCACACUGGGACUGAGACACGGCCCAGACUCCGUACGGGAGGCAGCAGGUAGGGAAUAUUAGGACAAUGGGACGAAAGCCUGAUCCAGCAAUGCCGCGUGAGUGAUGAAGGCCUUAGGUUGUAAGCUUACUUUACCGAUAGUAGAUAA